CCUUUUGUAAUCAGUUGAUUCAUUAGUAUGUCAGCCGUCUCUCAGUUUAGUCAGAAAUGGAAAUCCUCCGUGUGCAAAUAUCCACCAGCUUUAUUUUGACAAACUAAGCGAAACGCCGUCAAAAUUGCUCAUGCAAUGCUUUUAGUUUCCCACAAUGCUUCACUUCUUAGCUCAUAAACACCAACAAAGCAGGUCAGGACAAUA